GCCCCCGUAGCUCAGGGGAUAGAGCGCCGGCCUCCGGAGCCGGGUGCGCAGGUUCGAAUCCUGCCGGGGGGCA
rnacentral:tRNA from 1 species